AGCUUACUCUCUCCGUCCGAAAAAGCCUGUCUCUCAAAUGAAUGUAUGUCCGUCAAAUGAAUGUAUCUAAUAUCAAGUUAGUGCUAGAUACAUUCAUUUGAGGGAAAAGCUUAGGACAAGUUUUUUCGAACGGAGAGAGUACAUC
rnacentral:pre_miRNA from 1 species